GAUGAACGCUGGCGGCGUGCCUAAUACAUGCGAGUCGAGCGAACAGACGAGGAGCUUGCUCCUCUGACGUUAGCGGCGCACGGGUGAGUAACACGUGUAUAACCUACCUAUAAUACUGGGAUAACCACGGGAAACCGGCGCUAAUACCGGAGAAUAUAUUGAACCGCGUGGUUCGUUAGUGAAAGACGGUUGUGCUGGCUCUUAUAGAUGGAUCCGCGCCGGAUUAGCUAGUUGGUCAGGUAAAGGGCUUGCAAGGCGAGCAGGCGUGGGCGAACGGCGAGAGUGAUCGCCCACACGAGAACUGAGACACCGUCCAGGCUCCUACGAGACGCAGCAGUAGGCAAUGGUCGGCAGUGGGCGAGAACCUGGCGGAGCAGCGCGGCGUCAGUGAUGAAGGUCUUCGGAUCGGAAAACUCUGUUAUUGGGGAAAAACAAAUGUGGAAGUAACUGUGCACGGCGUGACGGUACCUGGUCAAGAAGCAACGGCUAACUACGUG
rnacentral:rRNA from 1 species